rnacentral:rRNA from 1 species
GGGGGGGGCAAGCGUUGUUCGGAAUUACUGGGCGUAAAGGGCUCGUAGGCGGCCAACUAAGUCGGAUGUGAAAUCCCCAGGCUCAACUUGGGAACUGCAUCCGAUACUGGAUGGCUUGAAUCCGGGAGAGGGAUGCAGAAUUCCAGGUGUAGCGGUGAAAUGCGUAGAUAUCUGGAGGAAUACCGGUGGCGAAGGCGGCAUCCUGGACCGGCAUUGACGCUAAAGAGCGAAAACUAGGGGAGCAAACGGGAUUAGAUACCCCGGUAGUCCUAGCCCUAAACGAUGAAUGCUUGGUGUGACGGGUAUCGAUCCCUGUCGUGCCGAAGCUAACGCAUUAAGCAUUCCGCCUGGGGAGUACGGUCGCAAGGCUG